rnacentral:rRNA from 1 species
CAUGCAGUCGAGCGAAUCUGAGGGAGCUUGCUCCCAAAGAUUAGCGGCGGACGGGUGAGUAACACGUGGGCAACCUGCCUGUAAGACUGGGAUAACUUCGGGAAACCGGAGCUAAUACCGGAUAAUCCCUUUCCUCACAUGAGGAAAGGCUGAAAGACGGCUUCUACUUGUCACUUACGAAUGGGCCCGCGGCGCAUUACCUAUUUGGGGAGGUAACGGCUCACCAGGGCCACAAUGCGUACCCAACUGAAAGGGGGAUCGCCAGGGGACGGAAACGGCCCAAAUCUACGGAGGCACCAUUAGGACCUCGCAUGGACAAAGUCGACGACCACGCCGCGGGAGUGAUGAAGUUUUCGGAUCGUAAAACUCUGUUGUUAGGGAAAACAUUAUCGGAGUACUGCCGGUACCUUGACGGUACCUAACCAGAAACCACGGCUAACUACGUGCAGCAGCGCGGUAUACGUAGGUGGCAAGCGUGUCGGAUUAUGGGCGUAAAGCGCGCGCAGGUGUUCUUAAGUCUGAUGUGAAAGCCCACGGCUCAACCGUGGAGGUCAUUGGAAACUGGGGAACUUGAGUGCAGAAGAGGAAAGUGGAAUUCCAAGUGUAGCGGUGAAAUGCGUAGAGAUUUGGAGGAACACCAGUGGCGAAGGCGACUUUCUGGUCUGUAACUGACACUGAGGCGCGAAAGCGUGGGGAGCGAACAGGAUUAGAUACCCUGGUAGUCCACGCCGUAAACGAUGAGUGCUAAGUGUUAGAGGGUUCCGCCCUUUAGUGCUGCAGCAAACGCAUUAAGCACUCCGCCUGGGGAGUACGACCGCAAGGUUGAAACUCAAAGGAAUUGACGGGGGCCCGCACAAGCGGUGGAGCAUGUGGUUUAAUUCGAAGCAACGCGAAGAACCUUACCAGGUCUUGACAUCCUCUGACAAUCCUAGAGAUAGGACGUUCCCCUUCGGGGGACAGAGUGACAGGUGGUGCAUGGUUGUCGUCAGCUCGUGUCGUGAGAUGUUGGGUUAAGUCCCGCAACGAGCGCAACCCUUGAUCUUAGUUGCCAGCAUUCAGUUGGGCACUCUAAGGUGACUGCCGGUGACAAACCGGAGGAAGGUGGGGAUGACGUCAAAUCAUCAUGCCCCUUAUGACCUGGGCUACACACGUGCUACAAUGGAUGGUACAAAGGGCUGCAAGACCGCGAGGUUUAGCCAAUCCCAUAAAACCAUUCUCAGUUCGGAUUGCAGGCUGCAACUCGCCUGCAUGAAGCCGGAAUCGCUAGUAAUCGCGGAUCAGCAUGCCGCGGUGAAUACGUUCCCGGGCCUUGUACACACCGCCCGUCACACCACGAGAGUUUGUAACACCCGAAGUCGGUGGGGUAACCUUUGGAGUCAGCCGCU